GGGGAAUAUUGGACAAUGGGGGCAACCCUGAUCCAGCAAUGCCGCGUGUGUGAAGAAGGUUUUCGGAUUGUAAAGCACUUUCGGCGGGGACGAUGAUGACGGUACCCGCAGAAGAAGCCCCGGCUAACUUCGUGCCAGCAGCCGCGGUAAUACGAAGGGGGCUAGCGUUGCUCGGAAUGACUGGGCGUAAAGGGCGUGUAGGCGGUUUGUACAGUCAGAUGUGAAAUCCCCGGGCUUAACCUGGGAGCUGCAUUUGAUACGUGCAGACUAGAGUGUGAGAGAGGGUUGUGGAAUUCCCAGUGUAGAGGUGAAAUUCGUAGAUAUUGGGAAGAACACCGGUGGCGAAGGCGGCAACCUGGCUCAUGACUGACGCUGAGGCGCGAAAGCGUGGGGAGCAAACAGGAUUAGAUACCCUGGUAGUCCACGCUGUAAACGAUGUGUGCUGGAUGUUGGGCAACUUAGUUGUUCAGUGUCGUAGCUAACGCGAUAAGCACACCGCCUGGGGAGUACGGCCGCAAGGUUGAAAC
rnacentral:rRNA from 1 species